CGCCUGUUUAUCAAAAACAUGUCUUUUAGAAUUUGUUAAAAGUUGAUUCUGCUCAAUGAUAAUUUAAAUAGCCGCAGUAUUUUAACUGUGCAAAGGUAGCAUAAUAAUUAGUCUUUUAAUUGAGGUCUGGAAUGAAUGAUUUGACGAGGAAUUAACUUUAUUUAAAUUAUUUUUUUUAAUUUUUGUUUUUGGUUAAAAUACCAAAAUUUUUAUAAGGGACGAUAAGACCCUAUAGAUCUUUAAAAAAAAUAUUUAUUUUUCUUUUUUGUUGUAUUUUAAAAUUAAGAUAUUUUUUUUUUUGUUGGGGUGACGUUUAAAAUUUUUGACUUUAAAUUUUUUUUACAUUUUUUUUGUUUAAUUUGAUCUUGAAUUUUUGAUUAUAUGAUUAAGAUACCUUAGGGAUAACAGCAUAAUUUAUUUGGAGAGUUCAAAUCGAUAAUUAAGUUUGUGACCUCGAUGUUGGAUUAAAAUUUAAAUUGUGGGGUAGGUUUUACAAUUUUAGGUCUGUUCGACC
rnacentral:rRNA from 1 species